GCGAGAGAAAGAGACAUAGAAUUUCAAUAGCUUGAAUUAAACCCCUAACUAUUCACGUGGUAGCGCGUCAUGUUAUUCAUCCAGUAGUGUAGUCUAAUAUAACUGUGUAAAAUCUGUACUGUUGUUUUGAAGCAGGAGAAUAUACAUACCGUUUUACCUAAAGUCAAAUAACCUAAUUGCAUAAUGGUUUUGGGUGCUGUAACACCAAGUAGACUAAAGCAAAUGGGUCCUGUCAAUCAGGAAUGAUGAGCUAAGACAAGUCUGUACAAAGGCUGCAGUUUUUAAACAAAGAUAAUGCAUGAACGUCACUAUGACAGGUUUGAUUACGUCGGACUAAAAUGCGUAACAGGGUUUGUAGUGAAACCAGCAUGGUGAAACUGUGUGGGAUGGCAACAACGUCAUCUGGGGAAUAUCACUCAAAUUACAUCCAGAUAGACAAACAAUCACUUACUUGAAGUUCCAAACAAAAUAAAUGUCAGAUCAAUCAAAUAACAGCCUACUGCUUAUUAUGCAUUGAAACAUCUUAACGUUGCAAAUCAUAGGAUAGCCCAAUUUAAAUCAUGAGUUUGUCUGUAAAUGUAGUGGGAUGUCAGUCUUCUUCACACACUGCUAAAUUAAUUUGCUGCAUUCACAGCUCAAUUGUAAUUGGAAGUAGCUCAUUGUUCCUGAUUGACAGGACCCAUUUGCUUUAUGCCUUCUGACAUCACAGCAAAUUCCACAUGCAAUGCUAUUAAAUUCACAGCUCUCAUUGAGCUAGGAAGAGAAGCGGAAGAGUUGCUGCUGCCUUGGCAACAGCUAAUGGGGAUCCUAAUAAAAUAGUAAAUACUAGCUGUAGACAGAGGGGGUUGAGAGAGGAUGGCAGGUGCUGUAUGUUCCUGGACAGCUAGUUAGUGAGCCUCCUGGAGAGGAAGCUUAGAGGACUCCCAGUCCCACCACCUACAUCUCCACCAAGUUUGAUCAGAUGAUCAAAAGAGGCUCCACACACCACCAUGACCGAUUGGCUGAAUAACCUCAAUCGCACUCCCUCCUGAAGGAGAAACAGUCAGAUAUGCAUAUCAAAUAGGCACAUAAAAGCUUGCACGCCAGGCUACAUUGCUUCUAUACCACUAUCUGGAGCAAUAGAAAGCUAGUGUGAGGGCUUGUUGUUUCUUUAACAUGCUCUUUCCCCCACCUCUCUCACUAAUCAAACUCUUCCCUCCCUCCCUCCUCACCAGCACACAAAGAACAGACCUGUCCACCUGCACCAGGGGGCAUAGCCAAAAGUCUAAUGGAGUUCAUAUGAGGGUUUCAAUAAGCAGUCCUUUGUACUACAGCCUGACCUAGGCUGGCAGGCUCCUCCCCAGGGUGUGUGGAUGCUGACACUUAAGUCGUUUUUCUAACCACAGGACCUGACCAGGUAAAACUGUACUCACGGUCAUAGUUAUAGGCUAUAGCUCCAUCUAUGGUCCAGAAAAACAGCUGGCCCUACUAACACUUUGGAAACCAUAUUCGGUGUAGGCGUAUAGUCAAACCUGGUAAAGAACAGAUACAUGAGAGGAGUGUGCAUGUGUUUGUGUGAGAGUGGUGUGAAGGAGAUAUGCGGCUGUGAAUCCCACAAUCACAGGCAGGUGAUGACUUAAUCAGCGUGACAAACAACAGUCCAUCUCUCUUCAUUAAUCCCCACUUCGCUCUCUCUCUCUCUCCUUCAUUCUCUCUCACCAUCUCAGGAGCGUUGAAAUUUAUUCCCAGCAUCCCUAGGCCUUUUCCCGCUUUCCCUCCAGUCGAUCCAACCAUCCCCCAUAUCACUGGCAGCAGUUCAUGUCUCCUGGCAACCAAGAAAGUCUCUCUCUUUAGCAGCCCAGUGUCUGAGGACAAUAAAUACUGAUAAUUAUUGGGUUCCCAGAUGUUCUCUUCCUGUAAGGCCUAUUAUCAAUACAGGAAAACAGGAAAAACUUCCUGCCACUGAGGGAGGGAGGGAGGGAGGGAGAGAGGGCGGGAGGCUAACAAUGUAACUAGUGUUUCAUUCACUCAGCAAACACACACAAGGAAAGCAUUUACUAUACCUCCAUGGAUUAUUUAAAAGCUUCUGGCCUAUAUUGAAAUAUAUAAUGCUUUUCACAAGUACAGGGGGAUGGGUUCUAGGGUGAGGAGGGUGUCCCAUUUGAAAGACAGUAACGCAAAAACCCAGAUCAUUUGUAUUAAACAGUUUAAAAUUAAAGCCUAUUUUAGAGUAGUAGAUAGGGAGGGGGUUCAUUUCAGUCACAGGAGUGAGUAUACAGUGUAAUAUUGUCAUUGCUUCAGAGUAGGGAUGUUAACCUUUAAAUCGUUUAGCUGGUUCGAAAAAAUACAUUUGACCAGUCAUGCUUAAAAAUCGGUCUAUGGGUUAAUUUGCAUAAUUUAGUGGAAUUAAAUUGGCGCGUGUGUAUUUUGGUAGUCAUGCAUCUUAUUUAUCCCACGGGCACAACAUACAAAGUCUAGUUUGUGGAGCGGAAUAGCCAAUCACCUGUCACACAGCGCGAGAGCAGCGCCUCAAAAAACUGGUACUGGAGUGAAACGCUUUCUGUAAACCCAGUCAUCGCGCAACAAAUAACGAUUAAAAAGAGCCAUUUUUAUUUGUCAAUCUCAACUCGUAAUUAAAGCGCACCUCCCAUUCGAGUACAUAACCGAUAGUCAACCGUAGGCAGGCUAUCAGCGUGUCACCCACCUCUUUGCAAUGUGAGCUUGAGGCGGUAUAAAUAGUUUGAAACCUGAACGUUUUACUUCACUUCAAAUAAUGAGGUACGUCUUACCUUGCUUCAAAGAAGCAAAAAUCCACCCAUAGAAAAUAGGUAAUUAUUGUAUUAUUUAAUUGGUUUUCAUAUGAACUUUCUUUCGUUGUCCAGAAGCCAAAAGGCACAAUCAUAGUCAUAUUAGAAACCAAUUCUAGUUGUUGCUAUUAGAUUCCCUCUCCUAAAUUUAUAUUGUAUCUCAAUCUCAUGGAAUCGCUCACAUUAGGUGUGCUGUUUAGAACUGUUUUCCCGCGAAUUGCAUUUUGGAAAAUGUUUGAAAAAUGUGUUUUAUUUGCUUCUUCAUUACAGGAGUUGCAUGUUCAAUAAUAUAGCCUUUUGACUGGAAGACGAUAGGCUUGCUAAUGUUGCAUGUUUCCAUUAAGCUCUUGAUGAAAAAGAGACUGGUGCUGGUGGUGGUUGGUCUAGCGACCCCCUCUCUUAGCCUCCCGACUGGGUGGCCUGACAUAUAAACCAAGGGGCCGUUUCCCCAUGUUGCUGAGUGCCAGCUAGCAAAGCCACCAGUCUUCCUGUCUCUCAUUCUGACUAGGCACUCAGCCUGCCAGCUGAAACACAUGGAAGUCAUCCAGGGAAGUGUGACUCCCUUAAUCUGCUAAAUCACAGCUAAGAGCUCACGAGGACCACGAUCCUUCCACACAGGAGGGGAACAACAGCCUCUUCCUCUGUGGCAGUGCUAGCUCAGCCUGGGUCAGGGGCCGGGCAGAGCUGAGUCCACACAGCCAGCAGGGAAGGGAACAACAACCUCUUCCUCUGUGGCAGUGCUAGCUCCGCCUGGGUCAGGGGCCGGGCAGAGCUGAGUCCACACAGCCAGCAGGGAAGGGAACAACAGCCUCUUCCUCUGUGGCAGUGCUAGCUCAGCCUGGGUCAGGGGCCGGGCAGAGCUGAGUCCACACAGCCAGCAGGGAAGGGAACAACAACCUCUUCCUCUGUGGCAGUGCUAGCUCAGCCUGGGUCAGGGGCCGGGCAGAGCUGAGUCCACACAGCCAGCAGGGAAGGGAACAACAACCUCUUCCUCUGUGGCAGUGCUUGCUCAGCCUGGGUCAGGGGCCGGGCAGAGCUGAGUCCACACAGCCAGCAGGGAGGGGAGAGAGCCAGGCAAGGCUGACUAUGGAGUGCUAUUGCAGGGUCUUUUCCUACCAUCUAUAAUGAUAAAGUUGCCUAAUUAAAUGCCAAUCUAAGGUCAUUCAGUUUUGCAUUCAUGUGUUAAGGUUACGAUUUGUAAAGGGCAAACUGUUAGUUGGUCUGGCCUGUACCCAAGGGCAACUACUGCCCGGAGUGGUAUGGGAACAUGCCCCAGGUUAGUGGUGUCAUCUCAACCACCCUGUUCGCAUGCCUCCAUCUCUUCACCCCUCGUGUGAUCCAUCACUCUUUAAAAACACUCGUCUUCCCUUGCUCCUCAAGCCUGGCAUUAAUCCUGCUUAAGGCAGAGAGUAAAUCCCUUAAUGAAGAUGAAGUGGGGCCGCCCAUUAACUACGCUCUCAAGUUCAGGGCAUCCUGGCAGCAAGGGUGACACACACACACAGGGUUGCAAGAGGUUUCAUAUGAAUGAAUGACAGACCAAACCUUUUACAUCUGUUCCCUUUGAACAGAGAUACCAUCUCAGACCUCACGAUUGACAACACUUCCUCCCACCUUUAUGUGGAUCCCAGGAAGAGUAGCUGCUGCAUGCCCAGUAGCUAAUGGGGAUCCUAAUAAACAAAACCUACAAAGUCACUCACUUAUGUCCUCACCUAUUAAAUGUCUGAUUUCAAUAAGAUUAUAGAGCCAUGCUACAUUACAUUAAACCAGUGGGUUGGUGGUUAUGACAGUUUGGCAUACCAUGUUGGAUUAAUUAGCCAAAUGAUUUUGAAAAAUGCCUAAAAAGUAACUUACUUCCCUCAGAAACACAGUUGUCAUUCAAAACAGUGAAUUAUUAAAUCAGGUAUUUUUCAACACGCCAUUAUCCAUUGAGCGGCACUGACGCACAGAGAGGAUGUGUGGACAGUUAGGGGACAAGGGAGGAAAUUACAAAGAAAAAUGAUCAAAUGACUGAGUAACCAAAUCUGCAGCGCUAUCAAACAGGAGGGAGAUAGAAACAAAGUGUUUUAAGAGCCUGCUGUAUUGUUAGAGUUUCUGAAUCCAUUCAUAUAUUAAUCAUGCUGCACAUGAUUAGAAGCAACAUUGGAAUUAGCCUGAACACCAAAAACCAACAGAGGAAGUGGCAAUGCAAGGGACAUUAUCUCCAUAAUGAUGCAUUUUCACACUUUGUUCCAAAUUGGACAGAAUCAUCACAUAUUGCCAUGCACAAUGUCAGAAUUGCUGCAGCAAAAUAUCACAAGGGAUUGAGUGAGUCACAUUAAAAUGAAACCCAGAAAGGCCGAUUCGCCAUAUGAGAGCUCAUGAUGAAUAUUAUUAGCCUAAUGACAAUCUCCAGCUGUAUGAGACAUGUGAUUUAUCAACAUGAGGGUGAAUAUUACAGGGAAGAAAUGACUCAGAAUGAGUCUUUUGUUGUGUUGAAAAGGAGAGGGGGAGAAUGAGAAUCACCAACAGUGGCUUGCUGACACCAGAGCCCCACUAUCCACGAGUUCAACAGAUCUAGAUCAAAGCCAGGUAACAUCAGAGGAAAUGGAUCCACUUAUCUGGUCUCUUCUAGGUGGCCUAUAUAUGUAGUGGGAUAUUGGGACUAGGGUGUCAUUUGAGAUUACACCCGAUUCACUCUGAUUAGUCUCUAACAUGGUUCACUCACACUGCAUUCAAUAAACCUACAUAAUAAAGUGUAAGCUAACACCCAUGCCCUCUGUCCUGCAAUACAACAGAAAACUGACAUAACUUACUCAUAAACAUGAUUGUAGCCAACUGUGUGUCAGGUGGUUCAUUCCUCUUCAAUGUGUCUGUUUUAUAAUUCGAGCACAAGCAGCAUCAUUCUAGAGAUGCAUCCUGGCUCUCCCUGCCUCUCGGUCUGAUCGAGAGUAAGCCUGGCCGGGUGAGUGUGUUCAGGCUGUAGUGUCAAGUGCUGCUUGCCUCUCACCCAGCCUGACCCUGCCUGAUGCUGUGGAUCUCUGAAGACUGGCUCCCAAAACCCAAACAAACGCCAGCCAAUCCCUUCUCGUUGUGUGAAUAUGUGAGCAUGGGGCAGAGCAGAACAAAAUGGGCUCGGCUGGAAGCAUUAGACCAUAUACUCAGCGGACCUGCAGGCUGGCGGAGAUGAUUCAUACAAACUGACCCAGUUCUAAGUAUAUGUGUACAGUGGGCCUGUGCCAGCUCAGCUGUGGACUUCGACAGCAGAGACUCCUAUUACACACCUGAUCAUCAACAGGACCAGACUACCGCAUCAAGCCAGUGAAUGAGGAUGGCUCCAUUGUGUGUGGUUUAGACUGGAGGGAGAGUGUUGGGUAACCAGGGAACAGGCUUGUAGACUCCUGUGUGGGAAACCGAGUCUAACCCCCAGUGCUAGAACACCUAACCAUUAGGAAAGGAAUGCUGUUUUUUCUGCAUAAAACAGUUUUUUUCCCUUCAUUUUUUCAACCGCCUAAGACAAAAUACAUUUUCUGGAUUGAAAAACGCUUAGUAUAAACUUAAACGACUAAAAUCAGACAAAAUAUGUAGAAAAGAUAAAUGGGCCGAUAUAUUUGUCGUCAGAGAUUUACAUACACCAUAGCCAAAUACAUUUAAACUCAGUUCACAAUUCCUAACAUUUAAUCCUAGUAAAAAUUAACUGUCUCACGUCAGUUAAGAUCACCACUUUAUUUUAAGAAUGUGAAAUGUCAGAAUAAUAGUAGAGAAUUAUUUAUUUCAGCUUUUAUUUCUUUCAUCUCAUUCCUAGUGGAUCAGAAGUUGACAUACCCUCAAUUAGUAUUCGGUAUGUUUGCCUUCAAAUUGUUUAACUUGGGUGAAAUGUUACGGGUAGCCUUCCACAAGAUUCCCACAAAAAGUUGGGUGAAUUUUGGCCCAUUCCUCCUGACAGAGCUGGUCUAACUGGGUCAGGUUUGUAAGCCUCCUUGCUCGCACACGUUUUCUCAGUUCUGCCCACAAAUCUUUGAUAGGAUUGGAGGUCAGGGCUUUAUGAUGGCCACUCAAAUACCUCGACUUUGUUGUCCUUAAGCCAUUUUGCCACAACUUUGGAAGUAUCCUUGGGGUCAUUGUCUAUUUGGAAGACCCAUUUGCGACCAAGCUUUAACUUCCUGACUGAUGUCUCAAGAUGUUGUUUCAAUAUAUCCACGUAAUUUUCCAUCCUCAUGAAGCCAUCUAUUUUGUGAAGUGCACCAGUCCCUCCUGCAACAAAGCACCCGCACAACAUAAUGCUGCCACCCCCGUGCUUCACGGAUGGGAUGGUGGUCUUCAGCUUGCAAGCCUCCCCCUUUUCUUCCAAACAGAACAAUGGUCAUUAUAUGCAAACAGUUCUAUUUUAGUUUCAUCAGACCAUAGGACAUUUCUCCAAAAAGUAUGAUUUUUGUCACCAUGUGCAGUUGCAAACCGUAGUCCGGCUUUUUUAUGGUGGUUUUGGAGCAGUGGCUUCUUCCUUGCUGAGGGGCCUUUCAGGUUAUGUCGAUAUAGGACUCGUUUUACUGUGGAUAUACACACUUUUGUACCCGUUUCCGCCAGCAUCUUCACAAGACCCUUUGCUGUUGUUCUGCGAUUUAUUUGUGCUUUUCGCACCAAAGUACGUUCAUCUCUAGGAGACAGAACGCAUCUCCUUCCUGAGCAGUAUGACGGCUGAGUGGUCCCAUGGUGUUUAUACUUGUGUUCUAUUGUUUUAUACAGAUGCACGUGGUACCUUCAGGCAUUUGGAAAUUGCUCCUUGUGGAGGUUUACAAUUGUUUUUCUGA